CAAAAAAAAAUCAAAAA
rnacentral:sRNA from 1 species